GACGAACGCUGGCGGCGUGCCUAAUACAUGCAAGUAGAACGCUGAAGGAGGAGCUUGCUUCUCUGGAUGAGUUGCGAACGGGUGAGUAACGCGUAGGUAACCUGCCUGGUAGCGGGGGAUAACUAUUGGAAACGAUAGCUAAUACCGCAUAAGAGUAGAUGUUGCAUGACAUUUGCUUAAAAGGUGCAAUUGCAUCACUACCAGAUGGACCUGCGUUGUAUUAGCUAGUUGGUGGGGUAACGGCUUACCAAGGCGACGAUACAUAGCCGACCUGAGAGGGUGAUCGGCCACACUGGGACUGAGACACGGCCCAGACUCCUACGGGAGGCAGCAGUAGGGAAUCUUCGGCAAUGGACGGAAGUCUGACCGAGCAACGCCGCGUGAGUGAAGAAGGUUGUCGGAUCGUAAAGCUCUGUUGUAAGAGAAGAACGAGUGUGAGAGUGGAAAGUUCACACUGUGACGGUAGCUUACCAGAAAGGGACGGCUAACUACGUG
rnacentral:rRNA from 1 species